AUACGUAGGGGGCGAGCGUUGUCCGGAUUUAUUGGGCGUAAAGCGCGCGUAGGCGGUUUGGUCAGUCGGAUGUGAAAGCCCCGGGCUUAACCUGGGAAUUGCAUUCGAUACUGCCAGACUGGAAUGUAGUAGAGGGAAGUGGAAUUCCGGGUGUAGCGGUGAAAUGCGUAGAUAUCCGGAGGAACAUCAGUGGCGAAGGCGACUUCCUGGACUAACAUUGACGCUGAGGUGCGAAAGCGUGGGGAGCAAACAGGAUUAGAAACCCCAGUAGUCC
rnacentral:rRNA from 1 species